rnacentral:lncRNA from 1 species
UUCUCUCUCUCUCUCUUUCUCUCUCUCUCUCUGCCUUGCACUUGAGGAUUGAAUGUAAAUGCUCACCUAUUGUUCAAGCACUGUGCCUGUUUCCAUGUUCUCUUCCAUGAUGGUCAUGGACUCUAACCAUGUGGGCCUGUGAAAGUAGAGAGUUAAAAGUUCCAGCACCACACCCAAAGGAAGAGCUUACACAAGGGAGUAAACACCAAAGACAGAGAGAAGAGUGUGUAUGUGUGUGUACACAUGCGCAUGUGCAAACCUGUUAUUAAUAGUGAUUCAUAACCUGAAAAUUUACAAUUUCAUACUGGCAGUUAUUUUCCCUUUUCAUUAUAUAUUUGUAUAUUUGCACCAUUUCUCUAUUCUAGCUCUCUCUCUUUCCCUAACAUUUACCUGAACUGACUUGUGAUGUUGUUAAUCUUCUUCAGCAGUUUCUGUUUUGUUUUCUUUUAUGAACUUUCUUUAUGUUUCUUCAGUUGCUAUUUUUGCAGUCUUGAGCUGAUGAGUUGAAGGAUAAAAUCACAUGCACACAAACAGAGACAGACAGACAUAUAUACACAUAUAUGGAGAGAGAGUCUUAGACAGACAGACAUAUGUACACAUAUAUGGAGAGAGAGUCUUGUAUUCUUAUUUGGCAUUAUUUAUGAUUCCAAAAUUGAGCAGCCAUUUACCUUAAAAGGGGG